rnacentral:rRNA from 1 species
AUACGGAGGGUGCAAGCGUUACUCGGAAUCACUGGGCGUAAAGCGCGCGCAGGCGGGCUGAUAGGUUGGAUGUGAAAGCCUACGGCUCAACCGUAGAACUGCAUCCAAAACUGUCAGUCUAGAGUGUGGGAGAGGAAGAUGGAAUUAGUUGUGUAGGGGUAAAAUCCGUAGAGAUAACUAGGAAUACCAAAAGCGAAGGCAAUCUUCUGGAACACUACAGACGCUGAGGCGCGAAGGCGUGGGGAGCAAACAGGAUUAGAAACCCGUGUAGUCC